rnacentral:rRNA from 1 species
UACGAAGGGGGCUAGCGUUGUUCGGAAUUACUGGGCGUAAAGCGCGCGCAGGCGGUCUUCCAAGUCAGUGGUGAAAGCCUGGAGCUCAACUCCAGAACUGCCAUUGAAACUGUUAGGCUUGAGUACGAGAGAGGUGAGUGGAAUUCCCAGUGUAGAGGUGAAAUUCGUAGAUAUUGGGAAGAACACCGGUGGCGAAGGCGGCUCACUGGCUCGUAACUGACGCUCAUGCACGACAGCGUGGGGAGUCAAACAGG